GCCGGAGCUUGUGUACAGACACGGUGGAGUGAAAGUGUGACGGCGACGGCGUAUCAACGACGCCGUUUCGUACCUGAGGAAGAAAUGGUAAAGUUAGAAGCUUUUAGUGUUGUGUUUCAAUGGAGGAGUAGGGUUUUGAGUUGGGAGUUUGAAGUCACGGGAAAUGAGAUGAUUCCCAUGAAAGGAUAGAAAGACAGAGAAAAAGAGAGGAAUAUGUCUGUAAAAAGAUAGAAAGGAAAUUGUAAGGAAGGUGACAAAAGGGGCAACAGAACAAGAGGAAUAUUGCCUGUAAAUUUGAAAUGAACUUAUUUUAUAUUUGGUUGAGAUAAAAUAGUGGUAUAACUUAUCUCGGAUUAGUUAUCUUGGCAUUGUAGUAUUUUUUAUCCCUAUGAAAAUUCUAGAAUAAUUAAUUCCGGAAUAACUUAAUUCUCAACCAAACGACCCCUUAAUUCUGUGACACAAGGUAAAAUCUCAAUAGGAUAACUUCCUCCUAAUCGUUGUAACCAAACGAACCCUUAAUAUUUAAUUACAUAAUUCGGUGUAAAACUUAGAUGCAUUAUUCGUAACCUUUUACUAAUUCGGUAACUGAUGGGCUAGGUAAGACAAGUCUCAUUUUAAAUGACAUGCGCUUCUGACUUAUACUAUUUCUUCGCGUGCUGCGAGAGAUGUCGUUGGAUUUAUUUUUUUUGGUACAAAAGAUAAUAUUUAUAUAUAUUUAAGUACUGCGUACAGAGAGUGGCUGGUAUAGCCUUCCAUUACAAGUGGCUUUAGUGCCAUACUGUAAUAAGCUACUACUAGACGAAGCUACAUUAGUACUACUAUGUAUUAAGCUACUACUAAAGGAAGCUACAUUAAUACUACUACUACCAUUAACAUGCAGCAUAUUGUUUACAUAGGAACUGCUAAUAGAGCCAUGUGUUGUUUUGCUUAUAUUUACAUCCAAAAAGUGCUUCUUAUCAGCUUCCAAAGCUUGGUUCACAAAAAGUGGUGCCACAGGAUAGACAUACGGAUCACAAGUAUGAACAAAACAUUUGGCUGCCUUUGCUAGGUGGUCUGCUACAACAUUCUGCUCUCUGUACGCAUGUUGGACAGACGGAUUAUUAAGUUGGUGGAGGAGGUACCUGCAGUCAUUUAGCAUAUUGGCAAAUGGAAGGUUGUCAGUUUGCAACCAUGUAAUAAUAUGUUGAGCAUCUAACUCAACUUCAAUAGGUAUUAAAUUAUGUUGUAAGACCAAGUUAAAUCCUGUAAUUAAAGCAUAUAACUCCGUUGAUAGCGUCGAUCCCUUGUGGAUAGCUUGUGCAAACCCUAGUAUCCAUUCACCCUUUGAAUCUCGAAUUGAUCCUCCAAUUCCACUUGCAUUUGUGCCAUUGGCUUUAACUUAUAAUUGUUUUGCACAGGAGGUUGCCAUCCAAGGUUAGGCAAACACUUUUUCUUAGAUUUAUGAUAAUAGACUGUCAAAUAAGCAUACUUAGUAGCUUGGUAGGUUGUUAUGGAAACAUUAACUCUUUCCUUUAAUAAAUUAAAAUUAUUCUUGUUACGAGAAUGUUCCACAAGCUUAUAGGCAAGUAUGUUUUGGGGCUUAAAUUAUAAGGGAGGAUUAAAUUCUUAGAGCUAAUAAGAGUAUAUAAUCAAUUCUUAGUCCCUUGGAUGGUGCAUAUAUAUAUCAGUAGAUUUUUAAGUCCUAAUUCCUUCCAGUAUGCAGUAGCAUUUUCGCAAAGAAGGAAGAUAUGCCUAAUAUUUUCUUCAACAUUUUGGCAGUAAGUGCAAGUGUUGUUUUGAAUUAAAUGAAUAUUGGUGAGAUAAGCUUUGGUGGGUAAUCUAUCAUGGUAUAACAACCAUAGAAAAGCUUUUAUCUUGGGUAAGAUUGGUAGCUUCCAUAUCCAUGAAAAGUUAGAGGGAGGUGUUGGUGAAGUUGUGAAUUUGUCUACCAAAUUAUGGUACAUAGAGCGAGAUGUAAAAGUACCCGUUUGUGUUAAUCCCCAGUAUGGGAUGUCCGGAGUUUUGUGAAGUUGAGAAAUAUAAAUUUGCUGUAUUGGUUGUGUGAUAUCCUUUGGUAAUUCAAAAGGCAUUGCCUUCCAAUCCUAACCAGCAUUAUUUAGGAAAGAAGAUACUUUGAUGUUAUCUUGAUUUAGAGGAAGUGGUCCUUGGAUUAAGGAACGAAUUGUAAUUCUAGGAUUUAACCAAGGAUCAUUCCAGAAAUUAAUGUGUUGGCCUGUUUCAAUUUUCUAUUUUAACCUAUUUUGGCAUUGUUCCCAUCCUUUUAAAAUAUUAGACCAAAUCCUAGAGUAUUUAAAGCCCUUCUUUCUAGUCAAAUACUUAUUAAGGAGUACCUGAGCCCAUAAAGUGUUAGGUGAUUUAAAUACUCUCCAAGCUAAAUUAGCAAGGAGUGAUGAAUUUUUUAUGUCAAGCUUUUGAAUUCCUAAGCCUCCUAAAUCUUUUGAAGUAGUGAUGAUAUCCCAUUUUAGAAGGGGAAUUCUUUUCCCCAGAGGAAAUUCCGCUGGUAUUGAUUCAUUUUAGCAAUAAUUGUAGGUGGAAUGUUAAUAUAUUGCAUAAUAUGGUUAGGUAAGUUAUUUAAAGUUGAUUUUAUAAGCGUAGCUCUGCCUGCUAUUGUUAGGAACUUAGUUUUCCAGCCUGCAAGUCUAUUUUUAAAAUUAUCUAGCAGGAAUUGGAAAUUCUCCUUUUUUGGUUUCCCUUGGAACAUUGGAAAACCUAAAUAUUUUCCAAAUGAUAUGCCCUCUUUAAUACUAAAGGAGUCCGUAACAAAUUGUUUAUCUACCUGCUUGCAAUUUUUGGAGAAGUAAAUCUUCGAUUUGUCAAAGUUAAUUUGUUGUCCUGAAUGAUGCAUGAAUUGGUUUAAUACAUCAACCACUGCAUAACAACUUUUAGUAGUGACUUUUGAGAAUAAGAUAAUGUCAUCUGCAAAGAAUAAAUGUGAAAGUGUUGGUCCUUGUUUAGAGACCUUGAUAGUUUGCCAUUGGAGAUAUUCUAUACCUCUUGAAAUAUUAUGCGAUAACAUUUCCAUACACAUUAUAAAUAAGUAUGACGAUAAAGGAUCUCCUUGCCUUAUUCCUCUAGUAGGUGUAAAAUAAUGAGUUCUGGAUCCAUUAAUGAUGAUUGAUAUGGAAGAUGUAGUGAUGCAUGACAUAAUUAAAGAAACAAUAGGUUCUGAAAUAUUAAAAUAGUGAAGAGUUUGUUUGAUGAAAGACCAUUCCAGUCGAUCAAACGCCUUUUCUAAAUCCAACUUUAGGAUCAUGGCAGAAGACUUACCUUGCAUUUUUGUAAGAUAAUUUAGAGUUUCUUGAACUAUUAUGGCAUUAUCAGAAGCCCUUUUUCCUUGUUAAAACUUGUUUGUGUAGGUCCAAUUAUUUUAUUGACAAUAGGUUUAAGACGAUUAACAAUAAUUUUAGUUAUAAGCUUAUAUAGAGUAUUGCAAAGACUAAUGGGACGAAAUUGCUGUAUUAUAGAUGGAUACUUUAUUUUUGGUAUUAAACAGACUAGUGUUUUAUUCAAUUCUUCAGGAAUAACAUUAGUGAUGAAAAUUUCUUCACAAAAAUAAAUAACCUUACUUCUAACUUAUGCCCAGUAUCUUUGAUAAAAGAACGGGUGCAAACCAUCCGGACCUGGGAAUUUAUAAGGUUUAAAGCUAAACAUAGCUUCCUUUAUCUCCUCAUGGCUAAUUGGGGCACUAACCAAUUGAAUGUCAGUAUAAGACAUGUUCCAAGUACUAGGGUUCCAAUGAGAAUUAGCCGUACUUAUAUCUUUAGUGUUGAACAAAGAUUUAUAGUAUUGUAGGAUAAAAUUAUGUAGCUAGGAUGGUUCAUCAACCCAAUUUCCAACUGCGUCCUUUAAAGCAGUAAUUCUAUUCCUAUGUCUCAUAUGUAGAGUAGACAUAUGAAAAAACUUAGUAUUAGCAUCUCCAUCAUUUAUCCAAUUAAUGCGGGAUUUUAAUUUCCAAAAUUCUUCUUCAACACGUAAGAGGUUACUAUAGUCUAAAUUGAGUUGUAUUUCCAAGUUUUGAAGGAAUUGACUUGUAGGAUAAUGAACUGAUGCCUGUAUACCUCCUAGUCUAGCUAAAAUUUUCCUUUUUUCUUGGAAUAUGUUACCAAAAGUUUGCUUAUUCCAUCUAGUUGCUACUACCUGAAAAUUAUGAAUAGUUUCAAACAAAAGUUGUUCGUCAGACCAAAUAUUAUGAACUAAUUGUUGAAAAUGUGGGUGUGAAGCCCUCAUAGUUUCAAAGCGAAAAAUAUUAUGAUGUAUUGUUGUUGGGGGUUCUAAAGUAAUUAAAAGAGGGCAGUGAUCGGAAUGAGUACGAGGUAGAUGAUUAACUAGAACUUCAGGAUAUAGGUUCAACCAAUCAUAGUUAGCCAAAAACGAUCAAGUCGCUCUAGGAUUGUGUACCCAUGUCUACGUUUAUUAGUCCAAGUAUAUCUACUACCUUGAAAUCCUAAAUCAACUAACUUGCAAGUGUUAAUAAAAUUGCCAAAGUUAUCAGUUCUUCGAUUAUUAAUGGGAAGUCCACCAAACUUUUCUUUUGAUUCUAAAAUUUCAUUAAAAUCACCCCCAAUUAGCCAAGGCAUAGAAACAAUGUUAUGCAAAUUCAGUAGAUUAUACCACAGUAUAUCACGUAGUUGAUAAUAAGGGCUAGCAUAUAUUGCAGAUAAAAGUCAAGGUUGUUUAUUUGUACUUACCUGGACCACACAAUGGAUCUCUUGCUGAGAAAGCCUCAUUUCAGUAACAUUGAUACUAGCUUCAUUCCAUAAAACAAGUAAUCCACCUACGAGACCAUUAGAUGACACUUGUGACAUAUUAGUAAAAUUAAAGUCAUCACGAAGCCUAGUGUGAUCUUGCAUGUGAGUUUCUAGUAGAAUGGCUAACACUGGCCUGUGAUUAUCUAAGAGAGAUCGAAAAUGCCUAUGAAACUCAAGAUUGUGUGACCCCCUACAAUUCCAUACUAGGAAAUUCAUAUAAGAGUUAGGAGAGGUUAUCUCCCUCAUGGGAGGUGGAACCAUCAGACUGACUGCCUGAGUCAUCAUCUGACCUAGACUUAGAGAAGGAGUGAGCUGAAGUAGUGUGGGGAUGAUCACCAUCGCAUAUUUGCCUAUUUCUGGAUUUGUUGUUUGACGAAAAUUUAGACUGCAUUCAAUCAUUUCUGGGGGGCAUUUGAGAAUGAUUUUUUUCCGAACUGUUCUUUUAGGUUGUAAAAUUGAAUUCCCUUCAGCCACCAAAACUCCGUCCUCGUUGCCCUCAUUUCUGCUAGUAUCUCUGCUAAUUCUUGCCUUGUUCGAGUAUCUAGUGCGGGAGGAGAUUGAGGAGGGGUAUCUUGUGGACUCUCCUGUGGUGUAAGGUUCUCCAAGGGACUCAGUGGGCUCACAUAGGGAGAAAGAGGGUUGAAUGUGUCUAGUGCCUGAAACCAAGAGACAUAGAUUUGCCCCAUGUGAUGAGGAGGGUAGAAUGGAAGAAGUUGGAAGUUCUGAUUUCCUAAUGGAUUCAGAGGAGUUGGAGGGUACUGCCAGUGUGCUUAUGUUGAGGAGGAUGCCUGGAUCUCUAAGAACAAUGGGGUCUGAGUCGAGUACCAUUGGUUUUGGUUGUAAGACUCCAUUCCUAUCCUCAUUCCCUCUAUCACUAUCUCCGCUAGGUGAGUGGGAUUUUGAAUUAGCAACACAACUUCCUGGUUGUUUAACUCCAUUGUGAAUACUAGGGCAUAACCCUGCAGACCCAUCUCCAGCCAGGAUUGAAGGGGCUGAUCCAUAGACAUCUGUUGAGAUGUGUAGAUCAUCAGUAUGGAGAUGUGUGGAACCUGGGGGCCCUGCAUGAUCAACCUUGGUAGAUGGAAAAAGUGAUUGUUCACCUGCAUGUUCUCCCUGAAGUAUUGGUUUCGACUAUCGUUGAUGAAAGUUGGCCUCUGCAUUUUGUGUGGUCUCAGAGGAGGGAAGCAAUGGUGUUGUAUUUGUUAAAGGGUCUGUAUUAUUAUUAUCAAAAAGCUUAAGAGGCGGAACUAUCCAUGAAGACUUUAAUGGGAUAGAAUGAGUAAGAAUGGGUGAAUCACAUGGAUAAUAAUCAUUAUGUUUGCAUGGAUCAGCUUCAUUGCUAUCCCGAAUUAUUGUGGCAUGCAAAUUACUUGAAGAGUUAUUGGGUAAUGAGGAGGACGUGUCUAAGGGUGUGAUAACUAGAUGUAAUAAACCAUUUAGUGAUAGGUUCAUAUGAGGAGGUGGAGUGUUACGUGGAAAAUCCAUCCUAUGUGGAUUCUGUUGCUGAGGAAACGUGGUACAGUUCUGAGAAAGAUUUAUAGGCUUAGGUUGUGUAUCAGAUAAGGUAGAACUGGGUUGAGUAAUUUUUUGAUUGGGUAAAAAGGGGGGCUGUAAUAAUGAAGUGUUGGAAUGGUGUAAAGUGGUCUCAGUUUGCAUUGUUACUACUUUAUUAAGUGAACCAACUUGGUUAGGAUUACUAUUCAGUGGGCUUGAGUCCAUAUGAUCAGCAUGUGGUCCAUAUUGCCCAAUAAGAGGACUAAACAUAUUAGACAAAUCCUUAUUGGGCUUAGACAGCUCAUCUUCGUUUAACAGAAAGGAGGAGCCCAAAGAUGGGCCUUUAGGGUUUGAGGACUUACCUGGUAGCAGAUAUGCCGACGUUUGUUCCAGCGGCGGAGUAUUGGUGGGGCUGUUAUUCUGUCGUUGUUUAUAUGAAGAGUUGAAUCUUUUUGGAAAAACAACUGUUUUCCACUCUGGUUCAGGUUUGGCAGAAGUGGAUGGUUGAUUUGUUAUAGGAUUUUGUAUAGUUUGGUUAGGAGUUGGACAGUUCUGAAUUAUAUGACCUAGAUGGACGCAACUAGUGCAGAGUAUGUUGAUACCUUCGUAUAGGAGGAUUUGCUGUGAUUUCCUAU